rnacentral:rRNA from 1 species
AUUGAACGCUGGCGGCAGGCCUAACACAUGCAAGUCGAACGGUAACAGGAAGCAGCUUGCUGCUUCGCUGACGAGUGGCGGACGGGUGAGUAAUGUCUGGGAAACUGCCUGAUGGAGGGGGAUAACUACUGGAAACGGUUGCUACUACCGCCUAACGUCGCAACACCAAAGAGGGGGACCUUAGGGCCUCUUGCCAUCGGAUGUGCCCAGAUGGGAUUAGCUAGUAGGUGGGGUAACGGCUCACCUAGGCGACGAUCCCUAGCUGGUCUGAGAGGAUGACCAGCCACACUGGAACUGAGACACGGUCCAGACUCCUACGGGAGGCAGCAGUGGGGAAUAUUGCACAAUGGGCGCAAGCCUGAUGCAGCCAUGCCGCGUGUAUGAAGAAGGCCUUCGGGUUGUAAAGUACUUUCAGCGGGGAGGAAGGGAGGAAAGUUAAUACCUUUGCGCAUUGACGUUACCCGCAGAAGAAGCACCGGCUAACUCCGUG